rnacentral:rRNA from 1 species
GAUGAACGCUGGCGGCGUGCUUAACACAUGCAAGUCGAACGAAGCACUUUAUUUGAUUUCCUUCGGGACUGAUUAUUUUGUGACUGAGUGGCGGACGGGUGAGUAACGCGUGGGUAACCUGCCUUGUACAGGGGGAUAACAGUUGGAAACGGCUGCUAAUACCGCAUAAGCGCACGGCAUCGCAUGAUGCAGUGUGAAAAACUCCGGUGGGAUAAGAUGGACCCGCGUUGGAUUAGCUAGUUGGUGCGGUAACGGCCCACCAAGGCGACGAUCCAUAGCCGACCAGAGAGGGUGACCGGCCACAUUGGGACUGAGACACGGCCCAAAAUCCUACGGGAGGCAGCAGUGGGGAAUAUUGCACAAUGGGCGAAAGCCUGAUGCAGCGACGCCGCGUGAGCGAAGAAGUAUUUCGGUAUGUAAAGCUCUAUCAGCAGGGAAGAUAAUGACGGUACCUGACGAAGAAGCACCGGCUAAAUACGUG